rnacentral:rRNA from 1 species
AACCUGGUUGAUCCUGCCAGUAACCAUAUGCUUGCCUCAAGGAUUAAGCCAUGCAUGUCUCAGUAUAAGCAUUUAUAUUGCCAAACUGCGUACAGCUCAUUAUAUCAGUGAUUAUUAAUUUGAUGGUAUAUACUACUUGGAUAUCCGUAGUAAUUCUAGAGCUAAUACAUGCGUAGAGUUCGGUGAACCGUAAUAGAGUUCCCGAACGCAAUUAUUAGGUUAAAGCCAGCUUGUGUCCGCUAUUGUCAUGGUAGAGGACAUGUUUUCGGUGAAUUCUAGCAACUGUUAAAUCACGCCGGUAUUUUACGAUACCACGUGAUAGUUCAUUCAAAUUUCUGCCCUAUCAGCUUGAUGGUAGCCUAUUGGUCUACCAUUGCUUUAACGGGUGACGGGGAAUUAGGGUUCGAUUCCGGAGAGGGAGCCUGAGAAACGGCUACCACAUCCAAGGAAGGCAGCAGGCGCGCAAAUUACCCACUCCCGACACAGGGAGGUAGUGACAAGUAAUAACAAUACCGAGCCUUUUUAGGUUUGGUAAUUGGAAUGAGUACAAUUUAAAACUCUUAACGAGGAUCAACUGGAGGGCAAGUCUGGUGCCAGCAGCCGCGGUAAUUCCAGCUCCAGUAGCGUAUAUUAAAGUUGUUGCAGUUAAAAAGCUCGUAGUUGGAUUUCUGGAUCGAUACGUCUGACCCGCUACUAUACUAGUAGUGCGAUAGUUGGCACGAGUCAACCAUUUGUUCAGGGAAUAAUUCUCUACCCUUCAUUGGGCUGGAGUUUUCGGAACUGGACCAAUUACUUUGAAAAAAUGAGGGUGUUUAAAGCAGGCCAUUUGCAGUGGAUCGUCUAGCAUGGAAUAAUAACAUAGGACGUCGGUUCUAUUUUGUUGGUUUUAGGAACUGAAGUAAUGAUUGACAGGGAUAGUUGGGGGUGCUAGUAUUCAGUGGCCAGAGGUGAAAUUCUUGGAUUCAUUGAAGACUGCCUACUGCGAAAGCAUUCACCAAGGAUAUCUUCUUUAAUCAAGAACGAAAGUUGGGGGAUCGAAGACGAUCAGAUACCGACGUAGUCCCAACCAUAAACCAUGCCAGCUGGGGAUUGGCAGAUGUUGCUCUAAUACGACCCAGCCAGGAUCCUAAGAGAAAUCGUAAGCUUUUAGGUUCCGGGGGAAGUAUGGCCGCAAGACUGAAACUUAAAGGAAUUGACGGAAGGGCACCACCAGGAGUGGAGCCUGCGGCUUAAUUUGACUCAACACGGGAAAACUUACCAGGUCCAGACGUAGUGAGGAUUGACAGAUGGAAGAUCUUUCUUGAUUCUACGGGUUGUGGUGCAUGGCCGUUCUUAGUUGGUGGAGUAAUUUGUCUGGUUAAUUCCGUUAACGAACGAGACCUUGGCUUACUAAAUAGUUCGGAGAAUCCUUCGGGAUUCAUCACGUGGCUUCUUAGAGGGACUACCGGUGUUUCUUAUAUCCGGUGGAAGUUUCAAGGCAAUAACAGGUCUGUGAUGCCCUUAGAUGUUCUGGGCCGCACGCGCGCUACAAUGAUCAGUCCAGAGUGUUCUUAUCCCAUACUGAGAAGGUCGUGGGUAAUCACAAAUGCUGAUCGUGAUGGGGAUAGAUGAUUGCAAUUUUUCAUCUUGAACGAGGAAUUCCUAGUAAAUGCGAGUCACCAACUCGCGUUGAUUACGUCCCUGCCCUUUGUACACACCGCCCGUCGCUACUACCGAUUGAGUGGCUUAGUGAGUUCCACGGACUGGCUGAUUUAGCUGUCUGGGACCUUCAAAGUUCUUAUGCUGUUUCGGCUGGAAGUGGUGCUAACUUGAUCACUAGAGGAAGUAAAAGUCGUAACAAGGUU